rnacentral:lncRNA from 10 species
UUUUUGUGGUUUUUAUCUCACCUUCCUCUGUGUAGAGUUGUCUUAAUUACCUUUCGUUGAUUUGAGUCUAUAUUCUUUUUUAAAAAAUAGAUGCAGUCCUGAAUCUAGAUGCCUCCAUAUUCUUUUAAAAAUGCUGUUUUAUUACUUUUUCUGAUCAGUUUCUUCUGCUAGUCUCCUGCUACUAAAACCAAUUCUUUGGAAGUAUAUAAAGAGACACUAUUGCAUAUGAUUACAAUCACAAACUCUAGAAGCUGAAUGUUAGUCACAGUUUCAGCUCUUAGCAGCCAUGUGACACUGGGGCAAGUUACAAUAUUUUGUGUCCUCAUCUGUGAAGUGAGGUGUUGAACUCAUUGAUAUGUCAUUUCCAAAGUGAAUUUCAGAGCCUGCUUCCAAAUCUCUGGACUAUUUUAGGAUAAAAGUGGUUAUUUCAGAACUUUUCUCAUUUGAAUAUUUUUCAGCCACUGUUAUGACAGUAGUAUAUAUAGGCUUUUAUAUUUAUAAGCAAUCUAUAAAUAUGACUACUUGUUUAAACAAAGCUGUCAUGAUUUUUUAGUGUUUUUAGAUGUAAAAAAUUCAACAGAUAUGAACUUAGAAUUGGUCUUUUUGAAGUCCUUUAAAAGGGCUAUGCGUGAGCCACCGCGCCCGGCCGGUGCCUAGACUGUUUCAUCAGGACAGCAUUUAGUUUUUUGGGGGGUAAGAACAGGUUUUAUCCUGCUGACCAACCUUAAGCACA